rnacentral:rRNA from 1 species
GACGAACGCUGGCGGCGUGCCUAAUACAUGCAAGUAGAACGCUGAAGGAGGAGCUUGCUUCUCUGGAUGAGUUGCGAACGGGUGAGUAACGCGUAGGUAGCCUGCCUGGUAGCGGGGGAUAACUAUUGGAAACGAUAGCUAAUACCGCAUAAUAUUGACUAUUGCAUGAUAGUCAAUUAAAAGGUGCAAUUGCAUCACUACCAGAUGGACCUGCGUUGUAUUAGCUAGUUGGUGGGGGAACGGCUCACCAAGGCGACGAUACAUAGCCGACCUGAGAGGGUGAUCGGCCACACUGGGACUGAGACACGGCCCAGACUCCUACGGGAGGCAGCAGUAGGGAAUCUUCGGCAAUGGACGGAAGUCUGACCGAGCAACGCCGCGUGAGUGAAGAAGGUUUUCGGAUCGUAAAGCUCUGUUGUAAGAGAAGAACGAGUGUGAGAGUGGAAAGUUCACACUGUGACGUAUCUACCAGAAAGGACGCA